rfam:Medicago truncatula strain A17 chromosome 6, whole genome shotgun sequence.
GAAUCAUGUGAUGAGAAAAAACUGCAACAAUAUGAUGGAUUCGUUCCAUGAUUCUUAGUAUUUAAGUCUCUGAUGAUC